GUGAGUGAAAAAGGUGAUAAUUACAACUUUGACAAUUAUAUCACUUUUGCAAUUUUGAUAAAUUAUCUGUUUUUUUGCUCAUAG
rnacentral:pre_miRNA from 1 species